rnacentral:lncRNA from 1 species
GUUGGAAUCAUAGCUAAAUAGAUUUGGGACUAAAGGGAUCAAAUUUUCUUGUUAUCCCCUUCACAAGGAUCAAUGACAGUGUUGGGGGAAAAUUUGUCACUUAGGCCAAAGAUAUGAAUUAACAUAAGGGUAGAUGAUAUGAUAAGCAAGAUCGAUGUCACAGCACAGUCAGGAAUGAAAAUGUGUGAUCCCGAAGAAAUAUGUUUCUUCUGCACCAUACAAAAAAUAUCUG